GCCGAUGUAGCUCAAUGGCAGAGCAGCCGAUUUGUAAUCGGCAGGUUGGAGGUUCAACUCCUCUCAUCGGCU
rnacentral:tRNA from 1 species